CAACCCUUAAGCCUAGCUUAGUGUUGGGAGACUGCCUAAUACGCAGCUCCUCAAAACCAGUGGCGGAGUCUGUUCGUGCUCUGAGCGUAGUAAUUUUUUAUCUCGCUUCUACAAGCCGGCCAGACGACAGCCAUAAACCGCACCCUCUCGGGGGGCACUUUUUUAAU
rnacentral:misc_RNA from 1 species